AAAAUGGUAGAAUGAGGAGGAGGAGGAGGGAGGAGGAGGGUAAGUGGAUAAGUAGAAUUGUACAAGUAAGAAUGUGUUUUUUGUUUUCAAGCACAGGUCCUCGCUCGAGAGUCUGGGGAAUGCGAGACUACACUUUAACCUACAUUUGUACUGAAUGAGAACUGCUGCAGCAAUUGGUUCCAUUAUUAUAGGAAGUUCCUAGGAAUAUUCCAAUAAAGGAAAAGAAUUGUACCUCUUAGACCUGAGAGCGACCGGAGUAUGAUGCUAAUUAGGAUGGAACGGUUCUCGCAGGCUUAUGACAACAUCGUCGUGUUACCCUAACUUUUAACACUUAUCAUUGAAAAUAUACGAAUGUGCAUUUAUUAUGAAAGAGUACGGUAAACUGAGGAGGAGGAGGAGGAGGAGGAGGAGGAGGAGGAGACAUCACAUAUCUGUUUAAAGGGGACUACUGAUGUGUUGAUUGAUAAAGUUUGAUAUCUUAAAAAGAAUUAUAGAAUGUGAUAUGUUCCUUUUAUAGGUUUCCAAUGCAUAUCAAUUUAUAACAUGGCAACGAGAGUAGAUGGACAAAUUGAAAGAUUCAACAGGCUGUAACGAAAUGAUGACAUUUUCACAUACACAAUUUAACUUAAUUGUUUGUUUUUUUUAGAAUUAUUUGUAAUUUUGAAAGCAAUAUGCUUAUCAUUUUUAUUAAUCGUACGCUACCUAUUGCAAACAUUCCUUUCAUAUACACCAGAGACGUACAUAUCACGUCACGGAAGCAGCGUCUGUCUGCAAUGUUUUAUUGGAGUACCAUUAUUUAUUUUUAUGCCCAGAUAUAUAUGUAAGUCAAAUUCGUAAAAAAAGUAUUAUACAUGUACCUCAUCUAUUCAUAAAAUGAAAGCAUUAUCAUUAUGCAGCAUUAGAGUAUUAUCAAAUCUGUCUAUGUUCAUCCAAUUACUAGAAACAAAUAAUAUGGCAUUUCAAACAUCAAUUUGUAAAAUAUGUAUAUUGUAAAAAUAUGGAAAUUAUAUGUUCUAAAACUUACAUUUUAUCAUACGUACUACAGUAUGGUUAUGUAUUGAACGAACUUUUAUGCAGUGUAUACUACAAACUUUGUCUAAAUGUAUGAGAAAUAUAACAGUGAAAACUAUACCUGAUUCAUAUACCUGAGUUGAACCUAUUUUUUACCUUUGUUAGUAUUCCGUAUUGAAACAGACUAUAACUAAACUUCAAAGAACUUCCUACAUAAACACCUUCCUUUGUCUUAACCAGAGUUGGUGUUCGGGGAAUGAGCCACACCACCACAUACGAUCUUCUCACCUGUAGAGUUCCAUAGCAAAGUCGGAUGUCAGAAUGAAUUCACUGAUAAUAUCCUGAAAAUGAGAAGGUCCGUGAGCUUUAAGGGAACUUUGAAGUGUUGAUUUGUGAUUGGUUGAUUAUCACGAGUUCUGACUAAUCAAAUGCCUUGUUCCUCGAAGUAGAUUUCAAUUGAUUGAAAACCAGAUAUGAACGACCUUCAGAACUUCUAUCAGGCCAUACUACUCAGCUGAUACAACACACUAAGGACACCUUGGCUGAAGAUCCUAUGUAUAUGGGUAAAUCCCUAACUUGAGUCAGUUUCCAUUUCUCAGUAAGCGGUGAUGAUUGAUCAUCCUAUGCUGUUUUGUGAUCUUAGGCAAGACACUUCAUCUCAAAUCUUCUGGUUAGCCUGCAGUGAUGUAGCCGCCAGCUACUACCUACAGAUCCAUACACCUAAAAGACACCCAGGCUGAUGUGAACAUCGGGAAAGACAAUUGACCCCAACUAUUCUCGAUACCAGUAAAUGUCCCUAUGCAUGUUUUUCAGUGAGGUAGCCACCAUCUACUACAAGCAGACAUCAUGGCCUCAAAAAGACCCUCACUGUUGAUGGGUGAGAAUCCUAACAAUCAAUGAAGACAGUCAUAAUGUAUUUCGCCAACACAGUUGUGAUUACAUGAACUACAGAAUCGAAGUGAUCUCUAAAAGUGUAUGGCUUUCAUCAUUUAAGUGCUAUACAGAAGUUAAAUUAACUGCAGGUUUUACAUGUUCAGAUGUCUAUGACUAACCUGUUCUUUGUAUGAAGCACAGAACAUGUUUUGAGGUAUACUGAAUGAUCGAGAAUAUAUUAGAUUUAUCAACAAGAUCGGGGGACACGUUCCACCACAGUAAACAAGAAUGUGUUGAUGUUGAGUAAGGUGUUUAUAUGUUCAUAUCAACUGAAUAUCAAGUAAACAUGUAUGAAUACAAA